UUUCUUCAGGGCAGGGUGAUCAGAGAAGCGAUCUGAAAUUCCCUACCGGCGGUAUAGUCCGCGACCCGCUGCAGGCGGUUGACCUGGUGAGAUUCCAGGACCGACAGUAUAGUCUGGAUGAGAGAAGA
rnacentral:ncRNA from 1 species